AUGAUCUUACUUUCAGGGAUCAUUUCUUGAGUGAGCAUCUUAGCCUCUCGAGGCAAGCAUGACGACCUUCGUCAGUCCGAUGAUAACUGGUUGUGUCUCCUUAUAGCAUGAGAGUGGCAGAGAAUAUUUACCUCUGCAGACGAUGAUUGCUUCCACAGUUGUGGGAGUUGGAAGUCCACUUUCUGAGGACU